AAUUAAUACCAAUAGAAGGGCAAUGCUUUUAGAUUAAAAUGAAGGUGACUUAAACAGCUUAAAGUUUAGUUUAAAAGUUGUAGGUGAUUAAAAGACCUUGAAAUCCAUGACGCAGGGAGAAUUGCGUCAUUUAAAGCCUAGUUAACGCAUUUACUAAACGCAGACGAAAAUGGAAAGAUUAAUUGGGAGUGGUAGGAUGAAACAAUUUGGAGAAGAUAGAAGUUUGAAGUGGAAAACUGGAAGACAGAAGUACGGGAAGGCGAAGAAAAGAAUAGAGAAGAUAGGGAAAUUAGAAGAUAAAAACAUACUUUUAGAAGAAAAAAGAUAAAUUUAAACCUGAAAAGUAGGAAGCAGAAGAAAAAAGACAAGCUAGGAAACAAAAAGCUAAGGGCAAAAUGUACAAACUUAGAAGAAAAUUGGAAGAUAGAAACAAGAUAGAAAAUGAAAAUAUUGUCAAGAGUUUCAGAUAGAAAAUGAAAAACAAGCUAAGACAAGUAUUGGAGAAGUAUAGAAGAUAGAAAAAUAUAAAGCCAAAAAUUGGAUAAAAUAGCACUGAAAAAAUGAGGAAAUUAUUGGUAACCAAUUUAUUUUAAAAGCCCAUCAAUUUAAUUUCUGGUGGUGCAGAAGUUAGAAGGUAAAGCUUGAGAAGAUGAGGGUGUUUACGUAGACCAGAACCAAUUUAGAAGAAUACUUGAAGCUAGAAGGGGAAGUUGGUUAAAAAUCACAUCAAAAAGCUACUAAAAGGACUGGUGUAAUUUAAAAAAAACUAAGGCAGAAGGCUUUUGGAAGAGUUAGAAGAAUUUGGAAGGCCUUAAAUAUAGUAGCUUAGUUUGAAAAAUGUGAAGGACUUUCGUAACGGAAGUAAUUCAAGAUCAAGAGUAAUUACCAACUUAAUGUUUUUGCAUUGGACUUUGAGUUAAGAUUAUUUUUUAAAUCCUGAGGACUAGCAUUAAUUGACAGCUGACCCAGGUGCUACACAGAAGUGGAUUCAGUGAAUCUAGGAAGACAGCAGCAGACAGGAUUCCAGGAACCAGUGUUUGAUGAAGCUAGGACUGAGGAGCAAGCGAGCAAGCAGCAGUUCGUGGUGAAGAUAGGAAAAGAGUCCAGGAGCCAGUGCGAUUUGGUGAAGGAAGCUAGGAAGAAGGAAGGAGCGCUAACGAUUUGGUGGUGAAGCUAGGAAAAAGGAUUCCAGGAAGGAGCGAGUGCAAUUUGGUGAUGAAGGUAGCAGGCGGCUUGGCUUGGCAACCACACGGAGGAGGCGAGCAGGCGUUGUGCGUAGAGGAUCCUAGACCAGCAUGCCAGUGUGCCAAGGCCACAGGGAAAGCGAGUGGUUGGUAAAAAUCCGUGAGGUCGGCAAUAUGUUGUUUUUCUGGAACUUACUUAUGGUAACCUUUUAUUUAUUUUCUAAUAUAAUGGGGGAGUUUCGUACUGAGGUGUAAAGGGAUUUAUAUGGGGACGUAGGCCGAUUUCCGGGUGUUGUAGGUUUCUCUUUUUCAGGCUUAUACUCAUGAAUCUUGUCUGAAGCUUUUGAGGGCAGACUGCCAAGUCCUGGAGAAAUAGUAGAUGGCAAGUUUGUGGGUUUUUUUUUUUUACACGAAUUUGAGGAAAACCAAAUGAAUUUGAUAGCCAAAUUGAGACAAUUUCAGCAAAUCUGUAAGCAGUUUGUAUGUUUAGUUGGGGUAAUGAAGUAUUUCAGUUUUGUGAAUAGAUGACCUGUUUUUACUUCCUCACCCUGAAUUCGUUUUGUAAAUGUAGAGUUUGGAUGUGUAACUGAGGCGGGGGGGAGUUUUCAGUAUUUUUUUUUGUGGGGGUGGGGGCAAAAUAUGUUUUCAGUUCUUUUUCCCUUAGGUCUGUCUAGAAUCCUAAAGGCAAAUGACUCAAGGUGUAACAGAAAACAAGAAAAUCCAAUAUCAGGAUAAUCAGACCACCACAGGUUUACAGUUUAUAGAAACUAGAGCAGUUCUCACGUUGAGGUCUGUGGAAGAGAUGUCCAUUGGAGAAAUGGCUGGUAGUUACUCUUUUUUCCCCCCACCCCCUUAAUCAGACUUUAAAAGUGCUUAACCCCUUAAACUUGUUAUUUUUUACUUGAAGCAUUUUGGGAUGGUCUUAACAGGGAAGAGAGAGGGUGGGGGAGAAAAUGUUUUUUUCUAAGAUUUUCCACAGAUGCUAUAGUACUAUUGACAAACUGGGUUAGAGAAGGAGUGUACCGCUGUGCUGUUGGCACGAACACCUUCAGGGACUGGAGCUGCUUUUAUCCUUGGAAGAGUAUUCCCAGUUGAAGCUGAAAAGUACAGCACAGUGCAGCUUUGGUUCAUAUUCAGUCAUCUCAGGAGAACUUCAGAAGAGCUUGAGUAGGCCAAAUGUUGAAGUUAAGUUUUCCAAUAAUGUGACUUCUUAAAAGUUUUAUUAAAGGGGAGGGGCAAAUAUUGGCAAUUAGUUGGCAGUGGCCUGUUACGGUUGGGAUUGGUGGGGUGGGUUUAGGUAAUUGUUUAGUUUAUGAUUGCAGAUAAACUCAUGCCAGAGAACUUAAAGUCUUAGAAUGGAAAAAGUAAAGAAAUAUCAACUUCCAAGUUGGCAAGUAACUCCCAAUGAUUUAGUUUUUUUCCCCCCAGUUUGAAUUGGGAAGCUGGGGGAAGUUAAAUAUGAGCCACUGGGUGUACCAGUGCAUUAAUUUGGGCAAGGAAAGUGUCAUAAUUUGAUACUGUAUCUGUUUUCCUUCAAAGUAUAGAGCUUUUGGGGAAGGAAAGUAUUGAACUGGGGGUUGGUCUGGCCUACUGGGCUGACAUUAACUACAAUUAUGGGAAAUGCAAAAGUUGUUUGGAUAUGGUAGUGUGUGGUUCUCUUUUGGAAUUUUUUUCAGGUGAUUUAAUAAUAAUUUAAAACUACUAUAGAAACUGCAGAGCAAAGGAAGUGGCUUAAUGAUCCUGAAGGGAUUUCUUCUGAUGGUAGCUUUUGUAUUAUCAAGUAAGAUUCUAUUUUCAGUUGUGUGUAAGCAAGUUUUUUUUUAGUGUAGGAGAAAUACUUUUCCAUUGUUUAACUGCAAAACAAGAUGUUAAGGUAUGCUUCAAAAAUUUUGUAAAUUGUUUAUUUUAAACUUAUCUGUUUGUAAAUUGUAACUGAUUAAGAAUUGUGAUAGUUCAGCUUGAAUGUCUCUUAGAGGGUGGGCUUUUGUUGAUGAGGGAGGGGAAACUUUUUUUUUUUCUAUAGACUUUUUUCAGAUAACAUCUUCUGAGUCAUAACCAGCCUGGCAGUAUGAUGGCCUAGAUGCAGAGAAAACAGCUCCUUGGUGAAUUGAUAAGUAAAGGCAGAAAAGAUUAUAUGUCAUACCUCCAUUGGGGAAUAAGCAUAACCCUGAGAUUCUUACUACUGAUGAGAACAUUAUCUGCAUAUGCCAAAAAAUUUUAAGCAAAUGAAAGCUACCAAUUUAAAGUUACGGAAUCUACCAUUUUAAAGUUAAUUGCUUGUCAAGCUAUAACCACAAAAAUAAUGAAUUGAUGAGAAAUACAAUGAAGAGGCAAUGUCCAUCUCAAAAUACUGCUUUUACAAAAGCAGAAUAAAAGCGAAAAGAAAUGAAAAUGUUACACUACAUUAAUCCUGGAAUAAAAGAAGCCGAAAUAAAUGAGAGAUGAGUUGGGAUCAAGUGGAUUGAGGAGGCUGUGCUGUGUGCCAAUGUUUCGUUUGCCUCAGACAGGUAUCUCUUCGUUAUCAGAAGAGUUGCUUCAUUUCAUCUGGGAGCAGAAAACAGCAGGCAGCUGUUAACAGAUAAGUUUAACUUGCAUCUGCAGUAUUGCAUGUUAGGGAUAAGUGCUUAUUUUUAAGAGCUGUGGAGUUCUUAAAUAUCAACCAUGGCACUUUCUCCUGACCCCUUCCCUAGGGGAUUUCAGGAUUGAGAAAUUUUUCCAUCGAGCCUUUUUAAAAUUGUAGGACUUGUUCCUGUGGGCUUCAGUGAUGGGAUAGUACACUUCACUCAGAGGCAUUUGCAUCUUUAAAUAAUUUCUUAAAAGCCUCUAAAGUGAUCAGUGCCUUGAUGCCAACUAAGGAAAUUUGUUUAGCAUUGAAUCUCUGAAGGCUCUAUGAAAGGAAUAGCAUGAUGUGCUGUUAGAAUCAGAUGUUACUGCUAAAAUUUACAUGUUGUGAUGUAAAUUGUGUAGAAAACCAUUAAAUCAUUCAAAAUAAUAAACUAUUUUUAUUAGAGAAUGUAUACUUUUAGAAAGCUGUCUCCUUAUUUAAAUAAAAUAGUGUUUGUCUGUAGUUCAGUGUUGGGGCAAUCUUGGGGGGGAUUCUUCUCUAAUCUUUCAGAAACUUUGUCUGCGAACACUCUUUAAUGGACCAGAUCAGGAUUUGAGCGGAAGAACGAAUGUAACUUUAAGGCAGGAAAGACAAAUUUUAUUCUUCAUAAAGUGAUGAGCAUAUAAUAAUUCCAGGCACAUGGCAAUAGAGGCCCUCUAAAUAAGGAAUAAAUAACCUCUUAGACAGGUGGGAGAUUAUGAUCAGAGUAAAAGGUAAUUACACAUUUUAUUUCCAGAAAGUCAGGGGUCUAUAAAUUGACAGUGAUUAGAGUAAUACUUUUUCACAUUUCCAAAGUUUGCAUGUUAACUUUAAAUGCUUACAAUCUUAGAGUGGUAGGCAAUGUUUUACACUAUUGACCUUAUAUAGGGAAGGGAGGGGGUGCCUGUGGGGUUUUAAAGAAUUUUCCUUUGCAGAGGCAUUUCAUCCUUCAUGAAGCCAUUCAGGAUUUUGAAUUGCAUAUGAGUGCUUGGCUCUUCCUUCUGUUCUAGUGAGUGUAUGAGACCUUGCAGUGAGUUUAUCAGCAUACUCAAAAUUUUUUUCCUGGAAUUUGGAGGGAUGGGAGGAGGGGGUGGGGCUUACUUGUUGUAGCUUUUUUUUUUUUUACAGACUUCACAGAGAAUGCAGUUGUCUUGACUUCAGGUCUGUCUGUUCUGUUGGCAAGUAAAUGCAGUACUGUUCUGAUCCCGCUGCUAUUAGAAUGCAUUGUGAAACGACUGGAGUAUGAUUAAAAGUUGUGUUCCCCAAUGCUUGGAGUAGUGAUUGUUGAAGGAAAAAAUCCAGCUGAGUGAUAAAGGCUGAGUGUUGAGGAAAUUUCUGCAGUUUUAAGCAGUCGUAUUUGUGAUUGAAGCUGAGUACAUUUUGCUGGUGUAUUUUUAGGUAAAAUGCUUUUUGUUCAUUUCUGGUGGUGGGAGGGGACUGAAGCCUUUAGUCUUUUCCAGAUGCAACCUUAAAAUCAGUGACAAGAAACAUUCCAAACAAGCAACAGUCUUCAAGAAAUUAAACUGGCAAGUGGAAAUGUUUAAACAGUUCAGUGAUCUUUAGUGCAUUGUUUAUGUGUGGGUUUCUCUCUCCCCUCCCUUGGUCUUAAUUCUUACAUGCAGGAACACUCAGCAGACACACGUAUGCGAAGGGCCAGAGAAGCCAGACCCAGUAAGAAAAAAUAGCCUAUUUACUUUAAAUAAACCAAACAUUCCAUUUUAAAUGUGGGGAUUGGGAACCACUAGUUCUUUCAGAUGGUAUUCUUCAGACUAUAGAAGGAGCUUCCAGUUGAAUUCACCAGUGGACAAAAUGAGGAAAACAGGUGAACAAGCUUUUUCUGUAUUUACAUACAAAGUCAGAUCAGUUAUGGGACAAUAGUAUUGAAUAGAUUUCAGCUUUAUGCUGGAGUAACUGGCAUGUGAGCAAACUGUGUUGGCGUGGGGGUGGAGGGGUGAGGUGGGCGCUAAGCCUUUUUUUAAGAUUUUUCAGGUACCCCUCACUAAAGGCACCGAAGGCUUAAAGUAGGACAACCAUGGAGCCUUCCUGUGGCAGGAGAGACAACAAAGCGCUAUUAUCCUAAGGUCAAGAGAAGUGUCAGCCUCACCUGAUUUUUAUUAGUAAUGAGGACUUGCCUCAACUCCCUCUUUCUGGAGUGAAGCAUCCGAAGGAAUGCUUGAAGUACCCCUGGGCUUCUCUUAACAUUUAAGCAAGCUGUUUUUAUAGCAGCUCUUAAUAAUAAAGCCCAAAUCUCAAGCGGUGCUUGAAGGGGAGGGAAAGGGGGAAAGCGGGCAACCACUUUUCCCUAGCUUUUCCAGAAGCCUGUUAAAAGCAAGGUCUCCCCACAAGCAACUUCUCUGCCACAUCGCCACCCCGUGCCUUUUGAUCUAGCACAGACCCUUCACCCCUCACCUCGAUGCAGCCAGUAGCUUGGAUCCUUGUGGGCAUGAUCCAUAAUCGGUUUCAAGGUAACGAUGGUGUCGAGGUCUUUGGUGGGUUGAACUAUGUUAGAAAAGGCCAUUAAUUUGCCUGCAAAUUGUUAACAGAAGGGUAUUAAAACCACAGCUAAGUAGCUCUAUUAUAAUACUUAUCCAGUGACUAAAACCAACUUAAACCAGUAAGUGGAGAAAUAACAUGUUCAAGAACUGUAAUGCUGGGUGGGAACAUGUAACUUGUAGACUGGAGAAGAUAGGCAUUUGAGUGGCUGAGAGGGCUUUUGGGUGGGAAUGCAAAAAUUCUCUGCUAAGACUUUUUCAGGUGAACAUAACAGACUUGGCCAAGCUAGCAUCUUAGCGGAAGCUGAUCUCCAAUGCUCUUCAGUAGGGUCAUGAAGGUUUUUCUUUUCCUGAGAAAACAACACGUAUUGUUUUCUCAGGUUUUGCUUUUUGGCCUUUUUCUAGCUUAAAAAAAAAAAAAGCAAAAGAUGCUGGUGGUUGGCACUCCUGGUUUCCAGGACGGGGUUCAAAUCCCUGCGGCGUCUUUGCUUUGACUACUAAUCUGUCUUCAGGACUCUUUCUGUAUUUCUCCUUUUCUCUGCAGGUGCUAGUUCUUGGAGUUUUGGGGAGGUGGGAGGUAACAGCACAAUAUCUUUGAACUAUAUACAUCCUUGAUGUAUAAUUUGUCAGGAGCUUGACUUGAUUGUAUAUUCAUAUUUACACGAGAACCUAAUAUAACUGCCUUGUCUUUUUCAGGUAAUAGCCUGCAGCUGGUGUUUUGAGAAGCCCUACUGCUGAAAACUUAACAAUUUUGUGUAAUAAAAAUGGAGAAGCUCUAAAUUGUUGUGGUUCUUUUGUGAAUAAAAAAAUCUUGAUUGGGGAAAAAAGAUGGGUGUUCUGUGGGCUUGUUCUGUUAAAUCUGUGGUCUAUAAACACAGCACCCAUAAUUACAGCAUAAUCUUCAAGUAGGGUACGGACUUUGGGGGAUUGGUGCGAGGGUAGUGGGUGAGUGGCCUACUAAAAAGCCCAGUAACCCCCACAGGAAAAUAGGGAACUUCUUUUUAAGUAGCCUCCUUUCCACUAUUUAGUAAUUGGCUGUGAGCUGGGCUGGGGGAGAAAUGGGGCGGGGUGUGUGUGUCAUUGGAAAGCUCUCUUUUUUGUUUUUUUGAGACAGUCUCACUUUGUCCCCCAGGCUGGAGUGUAGUGGCAUGAUCUCUGCAAACUGCAACCUCCACUUCUGGGGUCCAAGUGGUUGUCCUGCUUCACCCUCCCUGUAGCUGGGACUACAGGUGCACACCACCACGCCUGGCUAAUUUUUGUAUUUUCAGUUAGAGACGUGGUUUUACCAUAUUGGCCAGGCUGGUCUCAAACUCCUGACCUCGUGUGAUCCACCCGCCUGGGCCUCUGAAAGUGCUGGGAUUACAGGUGUGAGCCACCAAGCCUGGCCGAUCCUUUUAAGUUUUUAAACCAGUUAAGCUCUUUGGUUCCCCCUCAGAGUCCCAAGGUCCUGGGUCACUCAGGAUCACAUUUUCCUUUAAUCAGUUGUCACUGGUCCCCUUUUGUCCCUUUGAACGUGCUGUGGGAUUAGUAGCAGCAUCUGGCUGUUGGAAGGACUGGCUGGGAUCUCAGGUGAAAUACCCUCCCUGGCCCUCCUUACCCUUAAGAUCUCCCUGAAAAGUCAGACCUUGCUUAUUGGAGUUUGAGAUGCAUUCUAGUAAACCCAGACCUACCAGAGAGAGGGACCCACGUCUGAAGAAUCUUCCAGCCUGGGGAACCUGUGACUGGCCACACCCUUAGCCUAAUGGAGGGGCCUCAGAAGCAGAACUACCUUUUUUUUUUUUUUUAAUGGUAUUACAUUUUGCAAAUGGAGAGGUAGACUCUGAUUGGGCCCCUUUUGACAACGCAGCAGAGCUGAGGUUUGAAUCCUAGUCAGUCAACACUUCAACCCCUAUGUUGCUGUUUCUUCAAUGUCUAGAAUGUUCUGAUAGAUGAAGCAAUGGCCCGGCAGGUCAGCAGCACACCAACCCCCAACCUACCCAGCCUGUAUAGGCCUUGGCCACAGGAGCUUUCUCUUCCCUUGAAGUGAUCUAAUGGGGGAUGGGGUAUCUGUCUCGCUGGUUAUGAAAGAAGCUGAGCUAGGUGCUCUCCUAAGUUGCUUAAGUGUCUUCUGAAUUGAUGCCCAGUCAGUUUCGUAUGGAGAAAGGUCUCUGUUUUUCCAAAGCAGAAGGUUCUGUGGAAGCACAAAUACUUUACUGGAGAGCAAAGGAGUACGAGUAGGAAUUGGGGGCCACGCACAGUGGCUCACGCCUAUAAUCCCAGGACUUUGGGAGGCCGAGGUGGGCAGAUCACCUGAGGUCAGGAGUUCGAGACCAGCCUGACCAACAUGGAGAAACCCCAUCUCUACUAAAAAUACAAAAUUAGCCGGGCGUGGUGGCGUAUGUCUGUAACCCCAGCUAUUCGAGAGGCUGAGGUAGGAGAAUCGCUUGGACCCGGGAGGCGGAGGUUGCAGUGAGCUGAGAUUGCGCCACUGCACUCCAGCCUGGGCAACAAGAGCGAAACUGUCUCAAAAAAAAAAAAAAAAGAAGAAGAAAGGCUGGGCACGGUGGCUCAAGCCUGUAAUCCCAGCACUUUGGGAGGCCGA
rnacentral:lncRNA from 1 species